UUUCCGUAGGUGAACCUGCGGAAGGAUCAUUCAUAAUAAGUGUUUUAUGGCACUUUUUAAAUCCAUAUCCACCUUGUGUGCAAUGUCAGGGUUGAUUUUUCUCUCGAGAGGAUCAGCCCCAAACAUCAACUAUAUCUCAACUCUUUGUCUGAAAAAUAUUAUGAAUAAAACAAUUCAAAAUACAACUUUCAACAACGGAUCUCUUGGCUCAC
rnacentral:misc_RNA from 1 species